CAGCAUGAUUCCGCUGUGACGGGUCAAAAUUUGUAGAUGCAAACGAUAAUAAUGAAGCAUUUGCUGUAGCAGCUUAACAGCAGUUACGCGGGGUUCGGAGGGCACCUAGCAACAGAAGCCCUUCACU
rnacentral:tmRNA from 1 species